rnacentral:rRNA from 1 species
UACAGAGGGGGCAAGCGUUAUUCGGAAUUACUGGGCGUAAAGGGUUCGUAGGUGGCCCGCUAAGUCACACGUGAAAUCCCUCAGCUUAACUGGGGAACUGCGUGUGAGACUGGCAGGCUUGAGUGCAGGAGAGGAACGCGGAAUUCCAGGUGUAGCGGUGAAAUGCGCAGAUAUCAGGAGGAACACCGGUGGCGAAGGCGGGUCUCUGGGCCGUAACUGACGCUGAGGAGCGAAAGCAUGGGGAGCGAAUGGG